rnacentral:rRNA from 1 species
GAUGAACGCUGGCGGCGUGCCUAAUACAUGCAAGUCGAGCGAACGGACGAGAAGCUUGCUUCUCUGAUGUUAGCGGCGGACGGGUGAGUAACACGUGGAUAACCUACCUAUAAGACUGGGAUAACUUCGGGAAACCGGAGCUAAUACCGGAUAAUAUUUUGAACCGCAUGGUUCAAAAGUGAAAGACGGUCUUGCUGUCACUUAUAGAUGGAUCCGCGCUGCAUUAGCUAGUUGGUAAGGUAACGGCUUACCAAGGCAACGAUGCAUAGCCGACCUGAGAGGGUGAUCGGCCACACUGGAACUGAGACACGGUCCAGACUCCUACGGGAGGCAGCAGUAGGGAAUCUUCCGCAAUGGGCGAAAGCCUGACGGAGCAACGCCGCGUGAGUGAUGAAGGUCUGCGGAUCGUAAAACUCUGUUAUUAGGGAAGAACAUAUGUGUAAGUAACUGUGCACAUCUUGACGGUACCUAAGCAGAAAGCCACGGCUAACUACGG